AUACGGAGGGUGCAAGCGUUAUCCGGAAUCAUUGGGUUUAAAGGGUCCGCAGGCGGAUUAAUAAGUCAGUGGUGAAAUCCUCUCGCUCAACGAGAGAACUGCCAUUGAAACUGUUAGUCUUGAAUUCGGUCGAAGUAGGCGGAAUGUGUCAUGUAGCGGUGAAAUGCAUAGAUAUGACACAGAACACCGAUAGCGAAGGCAGCUUACUAGACCUGGAUUGACGCUCAUGGACGAAAGCGAGGGGAGCGAACAGGAUUAGAAACCCCAGUAGUCC
rnacentral:rRNA from 1 species